CCUACGGGUGGCUGCAGUGAGGAAUAUUGGUCAAUGGACGCAAGUCUGAACCAGCCAUGCCGCGUGCAGGAAGACGGCUCUAUGAGUUGUCAACUGCUUUUGUACGAGGGUAAACGCAGAUACGCGUAUCUGUCUGAAAGUAUCGUACGAAUAAGGCUCGGCUAACUCCGUGCCAGCCGCCGCGGUAAUACGGAGGAUUCAAGCGUUAUCCGGAUGUAUUGGGUUUAAAGGGUGCGUAGGCGGUCGGAUAAGUUAGAGGUGAAAUCCCGAGGCUCAACUUCGGAAUUGCCGCUGAUACUGUUCGGCUAGAGAGUAGUUGCGGUAGGUGGAAUGGAUGGUGUAGCGGUGAAAUGCUUAGAGAUCAUACAGAACACCGAUUGCGAAGGCAGCUUACCAAGCUAUGUCUGACGUUGAGGAACGAAAGCGUGGGGAGCAAACAGGAUUAGAUACCCUUGUAGUC
rnacentral:rRNA from 1 species